AUCUGACACCAUCUUCUGGUGCGUCUGAAGACAGCUACAGUGUACUUAUGUAUAGUAAUGAAUAAAUCUUUGGGCCUGUGCGAGCAGGGACUUUGUGAGUGGGGCUGACCGGAUUGAGAAGAAGUCCUAAAUUCAUUUCCCAACAACCACAUGAAGGAUCACAACCAUAUCUGUACAGCUACAGUGUAUUGACGUACAAUUAAAUAAAUAAGUAAAUAAACAAACAAACAAAUAAAAUAAAUGUAAAAUGUACAUUGUCAAGACUGAUAUUUUUUAAUUUAAGUUGUUUUUUUUUAAAGCCUGGUUUUAUUUAUUUAUUUAUUUAUCUAUUUAUUUAUUUAUUUAUUUAUUAUAUGUAAGUACACUAUAGUGUGUCUUCAGACACUACAGAAGAGAGCAUCAGAUCUCAUUACAGAUGGUUGUGAGCCACCAUGUGGUUGCUGGGAAUUGAACUCAGGACCUUUGGAAGAGCAGUCUGCGCUCUUAACACUGAGCCAUCUCUCCAGCCCAAGACUGAUUUUUUUUUUUUAAGCAUUUAAAUAUUCCAAAGUAAAUACUUUUGGAAAUAAGUUUUGCCUCAGAGAUAUCUAAAUGUCUUAAGUGCUAGAAAUGUUAAAGAAAAGUAUGUAAACAACUAUUUCUAUUUAUUUCUACAUUUAAGUACAAAUUUUAUGGUGUAUUUUUCAGGGUUUUUUUUUUUUUUUUUUUUUUUUUUUUGUAGUGGAUAGUUUUACUGUCAUAAAACCAAUGGAGGUAAAUUAACUAAUUUGCCUUACUUAGCUCUUCUGGUGAAAGUUUAAACACAUGAAGUUUAGUAUUAAUAUAUAUUAUCAUUACAUGUGAUUUAAAAUCUACUCUUUAAGUCAUUAUCAUUUCACAAUUGACAGUAUGCUCAAUCUAACUAGCAUAGUAUAGGUUGUAUAUGAUAGAGCUUCCAUAGUUGUUCAUUUAACCCUAUAUUGAAUAUAUAUUUUUUUUUUGCUUAAAUCUCUACAUUUCUCUGUUUAAUUACCAUUUUAGGGACUGCCUGUACAGUAAUGUAGCGUGGCGUGGAAGGCUGAGUGCUUGAGAUGACGAGAAGGCGAGCGUCCUGCAGGUCUGCGCCUUUGCCUGCUGCCUAGGGUGCAGCUUUGGCUUUUGUGCUGUGUCUCACAGAUGGGGUCAGAGCCGCUGUAGACUGGGCUGUGGGGACUUGAUACAGUUGAGAAAAGUUGGAGGGGGUUAAUCAUGGCUUAUCACAAGACUACUAAGUAUAUAACACAAAUUAUAUUGCUUUUUGUAAUUUUCAGUUUUUAAUGUAAGAUUUGAAUUUGUGCUUUGUUAGUAAUGCUCUAGGUACCUGCUAGUUCUUAGGAAGAUAGUCAUCACUGUGUGGUAUUUGGUCUCGGACCUCACAUGACCCUUUAUUUAUCCCAGUGUGCUGUGGUUGUUGACCAUGGCAAUGUCAGUAAUGCUGUGUAGGAUUCUAAUUCUUCUCUUGUUUAGGGAAGAGACAUGCCAACAACAAGAAGAAAACAACAAGAAGAAAAAAACCCAGUAUUUUGUACUUUUACGUAGUCAAGAACAGUUUACCCAGAAAGUGGUAGUUGUAUAGCCACCAUUCUAUAGUAUAAGACACAUUCGACCGCUACACCUGAGAGUCAUUCUGUCAGCUCAAGCUUUCAAAAUGAUGCUUUAACCCUGCAUGGACAUUUGUACCUCCCCUUUCCACCACACAGAGGAGAUCUGGCUUCUGGUCUGUUCACUGUGCUGGCUGGAAGACAGUGUCUCUCAUGCCUACAAACUAGAAUGAGUUUCAAGCUGGCAGUAGCUAUCAAAAAAAAAAAAAAAAAAAAAAAAAGGAUAUUUGAUGACAGGAAGUGUGAAAUCUUUUUAAAAAAGUGCUCUUAGCAUUCAGGAUAGGACCAGAACAAGGCUGGCUAUUUGAAGCUCCCAUCAGUUGUGUUAGGAGUUUCUGUUUUCUCUGAGCUGUUGGGUUCUGAGUGCUGAACAUCUGAUAUGUGAAGCUGUGGGUUCCGGCUGCCUCACUAGUGCGCUUUACCCAAAACUCUGAGGGCUACACAGUUCCGUUUGUAUGUUCUUCCCCCAAGUUCAUCUGCACUAAUUUUCCUUGGCCUGACUAGUGCUUUGGUUAGGUUACGCAUUUGUUCAUUUAUUGUCUCUUACUUCUGCUUGCUUCCAAGCCUGGUUCCUUUGCAGUGAACUAAUGGUAUGUUUUCAAGAAAGAAAAUUGAAAAGGUCAGAUAUGCGAAAGUUCAUAUUUAAAGCCACUGUUAACAUUUGUUGUGUGGUCACUUCCCUUAGUGCAUACUUAUAGAGGUGUGUGUCUGCAGUGUCUUAGUAUGCCUUUGUUUUUUAUAGAAUGUGUCUCAUUCUGCAGCCUAUGUUAGCUUUGCUUCAAUAAGCUAUUACACAGAGUUUCUACUAUGCAUCAUGUGCUGCUAAUGCUGGGGAGUAUAACCUGGCCUGUGCUAACCUAAGAGUCUGAAUACAUGGCAAGGGAUUGACGUUGGUAGGGGAAAAAAAUAUGCUUUAAUUGUGAUGACAGGCAGUAAGCCUUGGGGACACUGGAACAAACCAGGGCUCUCAUGUUGCAUCAUAGGAAACGUGCUCAGAUAUCUUAUAUUCGCUGUCACGUUGCGAUUAUGAAUGCUCUUAAGGGAGUCAGAGCUAGUAAAAUUUCUUAGUCAGUUAGAAAUAUGUGCAGGGCUGGUGAGAUGGCUCAGUGGGUAAGAGCACCCGACUGCUCUUCCGAAGGUCCAAAGUUCAAAUCCCAGCAACCACAUGGUGGCUCACAACCAUCCGCAACAAGAUCUGACUCCCUCUUCUGGAGUGUCUGAAGACAGCUACAGUGUACUUGCAUAUAUUAAUAAAAUAAAUCUUUAAAAAAAAAAAAAGAAAUACGUGCAGUAUUAUGUUGUACAGUUUUCCUUGUAUUGUGAUAAGCACUUCAAUAUAGUGGUGUUUUUUUGUUUUGUUUUUUAAACAUUUAGACUUUGUCAGGGUCUUAUUCUGUAGUCCUGGUUGGCCUUAGACUCAUGGUAACCUCCCCAUCAGUCUCUGAUUUAAUAAAAUGGUUUCCAUUUUAUUAAAAUUCUAAUUUUAAUACUUUAAUUUUAGAGGAGAGGUACUCCUAUAAGGUUCAGGCUGGCCUUCAGUUCCCAAGUAGCUGUCACAUAGUCAGCUUGGAUUUGUCCCACUUGUCCAUUUACUUACUUGUUAAUGAGAAGCUGUCACUGUGCAACCCAGGCCGGCCUGGAGUUCGAUAUUUAGGCAGGCUAGCUUAAGAUGUAUUAUCUUCCUGCAUCAGCUUUCUGAGUGGUGGUAUUACAAAUGUGUGCCAUCAUCUAUCUGCCUGACCUAACUUCAGCUUUUCAGUGUUCUGGUAUUCCAGGAAAUUUGCUACCAGUCCCUAUGCUUUCUGGGAAGGCACAUCCAUGAAUUCCCUUUUGAAACAAAUUCAUACAGGAGAGUAUGCUAAAAGACAACAACAAGAGUAUGACAAAAAGACAGAGAGAGGAUAAUGGUUUGAGUCAGCAUCGGUGCUAGCCAGUGUGUGGGAGAAACUGUCACGCGUUCUUGCUGUUUGUGAACCCCAGGGGUAGACUCCUUAGAACCAGACUUAGUUGUGCUCUUUUCAGGGAAGGUGCUGUCAGCUUUGUUCUGUCUGGCCCCAUCUGGUUUCAUCUGCCUCUGGAAGGUGGUUUUAGAUCCUGGCAGAAGGUAGUAAAUAGUUUGUGCUAUCUCCUUACUACUGGGGUCCCUGUUUGGUUUCUAUUUGUCUUUUUGAGACAGGGUUUCUCUGGGGUGCUCUGGGCUGUCCUAGAACUUGGUCUAUAUGUAGUCCAGGCUGACCUUGAACUCACAGAGACCUGUCUGCCUCCACCUCCCAUGUGCUGGGAUUAAAGGCAUGUGCCACUAACACCUGUUAUUGACUUCUUAUGUUCAGUUUUAGUGUUUACUUUUUAAUUAGUUUCUUUUUUUAAUAUAUUACAUUGGCUUAUUAUGUUAAUAUUUUUAUUAUGUUUUUGAUUCAAAUUUAUCUUUAAAUUCAUGAAUCGUAGCACAUGAACUCAGGAAAAUAAUGGGUAAAAUGGCUUAGUAUUAUCCUUCCACAUUUCCUCCCACAGGGAAUAGCUAUCAUCUUGAUACAAAUACAGUGUAUUUGAUCAUAUCCACCCCUAUCCCCCACAACUCUUUCUCAGAGCCUCACACAAACAUCUUCCUCUCAAAGUCCUGUCCUCUUCUGUUUUGGAUGUCCACUGGAGCAUCAGCAGCCUGUCAGUGGCCCAUCCCUGAAGGAAGAGCUGGCUCCCCUCCCCAGGAGCAGUGGCGUGCCUGCAGCUCCUCAGUACGGCACAGGGUCUUAGGAGCCCUUCACACACCUAUGCCGCCUGGCUGACUGGCUUGUUCUUGCUGGGUCUAUUCAUCAGGCACCCGCAGCUGCUAUGAGUUCCCUGCCACGUCCAGAAGACACCACUUUCCGACAGUCCUCCUGGUGUAUAUAAUGUGUCAGUCAUCAUGAAAGUUCUAACACUGGGUAUGUUCAUUCAUUUUCCAUCAAAAGAGAAAGCUUGGGGAAGGAAGCCACAGAGCCGGACGAGUCACCCUUCCUGGGCAGAAAGCACUUUUCCUUCCAAGCCUUUUCUGGCUAUGCUGCCUCAGCUUUUUGCUAUCCAUGAAAAGACAGCAGAAUUGUGGACGAGGAAAUGGACUUGGGAAGAUUCUACAAUGAACCAAUCAGACUUUCUCUAAACCAUCUGUGAAACUCUAAUGCAACUAUAGAAAAGCAGGGCCCUGGGAGAGACGGAACCUGGCCUGUCAUGCAUAGAGAAAAGGGGACCUUGGGGAGAGCAGCUGUGACAAGUCAGUGGGGAAAGCUGGUGGCAGCACCGGUUCACACACAUGCUGCUCUUUGCUGUGAGUGUGGAGCUGGCUUGGGCUCGCUCUUUAAUUUCUUUUGAGUCAGGGUCUCUCUGUAGGCCAGGCUGGCCUGGAAUUUAUUAGAUAGCUUAGGUUGGCCUUGAACUCCCAAUAAUCCUGCCUCUUGAGUGUUGAGAUUAUAGGUGUGAGACACCACAAGGGUUCAGAGCUUAAACAGUAUAGUCAUGUAAGACUUGACUGUUACCUGCUUUUAGCACUUUGUUUAAAAUGGAGAAGUCUUGGAUUCUUUUCUCUCUAGAUUCUGAUUUAUUUUGUCUCAGCAGAUGUUCGGAACAUGGCUUUCCUGAGGUUCACAUGACUACAAGAACAUGCAAAAGCAGAGCUCUCAUUAAGUGUUGGAUUGGCCCAGCGCAGCUGCGGCCCUUCAUUGAAGUGUGUUGAAUACAGUUCCGGGUUUAAAAUUAAAAAAGAAAGAAAGAAGCACAAGUGCCGUCAGUGGCUGAACAGAAAAUGAAGUCCCCCAUUUCCUUGGAGGAUACUUAGAUACUUCAUUACUUUGACCUUCAAAUCUCUGCUAAUUUGGAUUAUAAAUGUGGCAGGUGGAUGGCAGAUUAGCACAUAAGAUGGACCCUGAUGUCUUUUUAUAUGCUAUAGAGCUGUGGAUGUUACAUCCCAAGGAGUCAGAGAAUGGACAUCGUUGUCUAUGUGGGAUAUUUUCUUCAGAUAAUUCAGGAUACUUGUAAUCCGGACGGGCUGACGAAACACAUUGGGAACGUGAUGUCAUAACUAUAGGUGGAGGCAGCAUUGCUAAGAUUCUCAAACUGGCCAGUGGUGACACACCUUUAAUCCUAGCAUUCAGGAGAUAGAGGCAAGUGGAUUUCUGUGUUCUCUAUAAAAGGAGUUCCAGGACAGCCAAGGCUAUACAGAGAAACCAUGCCUCAAAACACUAUAAGUGAAUGACUGGGAGGGGGCAGAGGGAGAGGGAGAGGGAGGAAGAGGAAGAGGAAGAGGAAGGAAGGAAAGAAAAGGUUUCUCUGAACAUAGCCCUGGCUGAUGGGGACUUUUUCUGUAGACCAGCCAGGUUGACAUCAAUCUCAAAGAGCUCUGCCUGCUUCUGUCCUGGGUGCUCGGAUUAGACAUGUGUACCAGCGUGCCUCCGCUCUUCUGUGAACUACGCUGAUUCUGUGAUACUGGUGGUUAUAGUCAGGGCAGCAGAUCCUAGAUGUUGAUCUGUCACAUUUCUUUUGUUUGUUUUCUUUGUUUUUCAAGACAGGGUUUCUCUGUAUAGCCCUGGCUGUCUGGAACUCACUCUGUAGACCAGGCUGGCCUCGAACUCAGAAAUCCGCCUGCCUCUGCCUCCCGAGUGCUGGGAUUAAAGGCGUGCGCCACCACUGCCUGGCGACCCAGCUCUUAAUUGUCUCUUACACAGCUGUGAGGAUAUGUAGGUGAAAGACUGAUCAUUUGAGAGGCCACUUGUAUGAUGGUGGUGCCUGUAAACAAAUCUGAAGUCUGAAGGCAAUUCACUUGAGUAUGCAUGAGUAUGAGCCCAGUGUUUAGUGUAUGUCUGAAUCUGUGUGCCAUACUUAGUCUGUUUUCAAUAAAUUUCAUCUAAUCUUGACAUUAUGAUUAACUGGAAUAUAUUAUAAAUUAUCCAACAGUAAGCAAAUGACAGGCAGAAAAAAAAUGAACAUUCAGUUUUGCUUGUGUGAAGCAGCUGUCAUGCUAGAGCUUCUGUUUGUCCAUCCUGACAGCAAGACUUGUAUUUCCCUGCACUUGGCCUGUAGUUAAGAUUGUGGAGUAUAGGAGGCAAAUAUUAAAAUGGGGUGGAAUAUUAUAGUAAUACUCAUCAUACAAGGAACUACAGUAUAGAUGCUUUAAAAA